AUACGAAAGGUGCAAGCGUUGUUCGGAUUUACUGGGCGUAAAGAGAGUGUAGGUUGUUUAUUAAGUCGGAUGUGAAAUCCCGGGGCUCAACCUCGGAACUGCAUUCGAUACUGGUAGACUAGAGUUCGGGAGGGGUAAGCGGAAUUCCGUGUGUAGCAGUGAAAUGCGUAGAUAUACGGAGGAACACCUGAGGCGAAGGCGGCUUACUGGACCGAUACUGACACUGAGACUCGAAAGCGUGGGUAGCAAACAGGAGUAGAAACCCCAGUAGUCC
rnacentral:rRNA from 1 species